UACCAAAAGUAUAAGCUGGAAGUUUUUGG
rnacentral:piRNA from 1 species